rnacentral:rRNA from 1 species
UACGUAGGGUGCAAGCGUUGUCCGGAAUUAUUGGGCGUAAAGAGCUCGUAGGCGGUUUGUCGCGUCUGCUGUGAAAACCCGAGGCUCAACCUCGGGCCUGCAGUGGGUACGGGCAGACUAGAGUGCGGUAGGGGAGAUUGGAAUUCCUGGUGUAGCGGUGGAAUGCGCAGAUAUCGAGGAGGAACACCGAUGGCGAAGGCAGGUCGUCUGGGCAUUAACUGACGCUGAGGAGCGAAAGCAUGGGGAGCGAACAGG